UUCUGCCUGUAGACAUCUGUUCUACAAUGUGCCAGCCGCAGAGCAUGAAACUCUUUGUUGACAUAAUUGAGCUCUUUCAGGCAGAGUACAGCUGGCGUUCCCCUUUUUAUCCACUUUAUUGGAAAAGUGAGAAAGAGAGGAAGUGUGUGGUGUGUGGUGUGUGGUGUUCCUUUCACCUCUAUAGUGGCAUCCAGCUUAAGCCAGGGCUGGCUACACUUUUUUUAAACCUUUAUUUAACUAGGCAAGACAGUUAAGAAAAUAUUUUUUAUUUACAAUGACACCUACACCGGCCAAUCCCAGACAACACUGGGCCAAUUGUGCACCACCCUAUGGGACUCCCAAUCACGGCUGGAUGUGAUACAGCCUGGAUUCAAACCAGGGUGUCUGUAGUGACGCCUCUAGCACUGAAAUGCAGUGCCUUAGACCGCUGUGCCACUCAGGAGCCCCAAUCCACUUGUUUAACAAGCAACGCCUCCUUUUUACCUAAUUAUCUCAUUCUGAACAUUAACCACAUAUUGUAGAGGGAAAACAUUAGUUCACAGAUAGUAGUAGUUAGUUCAUUAGCUAGCUAACUACUCAACAUUUCACAUAGAUUGCCAGGGUCCUGUAAGCAACUAACACGUUAUAACUUCAAGAAUGGCAAGGAGUCAUAACAUUAUACCAGUGGCAGAGAACAGCACAAGCCUGGGGGCCCAGAAGGCUCUGUCUGUAUGUGACAGGAGAUGUGUGCCAAGCCUCAGAUCCAGAGGGAGUGGUGAGGAUGGCUGGAAUGUCUUGACAUCCUAGUUUUGAAUCACAUUGGAUCCUCCCCAUUCGCCAUAUGGAACGGAGACGAGGAGCACGUCAGGGAACUAAUGCAGAUACGCUUUGUUUUUUUUCCCCUUUGUAUUAGGCUAUACUUAGCCUUGCACCUAGCCAAGUGAGACAAGGCUAUGCUAUAGUAGUUUCUAAUGUGUUGCUGUUUUCCAAAGGUGAAUUUCCUCAGCUACGUGAACAUUGCGUCUGCAGCUUUGUCAGUGUUGGAGUAUAGGGUUUGUGAUCGUAGUAUCCUCUCUGUUGGGUAAGAUGACUACUCCGUGGAGCCCUUACGCGGCCAACGGUUUCUUGUAGUGAAUGUUUUCUUUGGCACCAUACAGCAUGAGCUAGCCAUCUAGCACAGCAAUGUAUCUCUGACCAUCACCACCUUGGGCCUGAUAAGACACAGAAUCAGAGGCCACACCAAUAUGAUGGCCUACCCAGCCUGCGAUGCUGCCCUCCACCUCAUCACCUGCCAGAAGAAGUCAUUCUGCCCUGUCUACAUUUACCUCGCCUGCCUGUGCAGACAGGUUCCUCUUCUUCAGAAGCAUUGUCAUUGAGAACUCCUACACAUACUGAAGAAGCCUCAAACCCCUAGUGAAUGAAGCCCUUACUACACAGAGUGGGGCAGGGUAAGGGUCAGGGGGAACGUUUUUAGGAUAGGAUAGAAAUAUAGAGGAGAGAGGGUGCUAGAGCAGUGGGUCAGAUUCAAACCCAUGCUCGCAGACGUUCACAGCACAUAUGAUCCAGAGACAGCGACUUUUAGACAGCUGGAACUCCCAGGCCACAUGCUUCACCUACUUAAAAAGGGAACCCUCAUAGUUGUAUGGAAUGAGCUCACCUACUUCUGUGACCACACAGGAAGCCCAACUCCACCCAUGGUUGGAUGUUGUAUCUAUAUGAGGCGUUUCCACCUAUGGUUGGAUGUUGUAUCUAUAUGAGGCAAUCUCAUGUCUUCAAAAUGCUCUCCAUUGUAAUGGUGGUGAAUGCUCCUUAUCCACUACCCAAGGUGUAGCACCCGUUGUGACCAAUCAGACUAAUCUGGAGGGAGGAGGUGGGUGGUUAAAUGGAAAGCAUAUCAGGGCGUAGAGUGACCAUAGUGGCUAUAUCUCGUUAUGUGUGGUCACUAGUGUGCAAUUGAGAUCUGCUUUAAUGAUUUCACAGGCCCUCCUUAAGCCCCCUUCAGGUGCUACAUGUGGGGACAUCAAAGGAUUUGAGUUCUAGCCACCGGUUCUUAUAACCCAUUCCUUUAAUUAACAUGCAAUAUUCUGUGUCUAGAGAAUAAGGUGCACAAUAAACUAUGGUGCUAAGCGGAAGGUUGAAGUCGGGCUGUAACGUGAAGACCUCUGAAGUGUUAUGUGUGUGAUGACACGCUCGACAGCAACGCUAACUGUGUGCAGUCAUAUGAAUACAAUUAAUAGAACAGACACAAGUCUGGGUAGGCUAUGUGUUCUCAUGACUCAUUGGGUCAAAUGGAACACAGAGGGAAUGCUAAAUUGAAUAGAAGUAUUCCAUCUUGGUAACGGAGCACUUCAAAAUGGCUUCUUUUGUACAAAUCCAUUACCAAUGCCCUUUGUCUCCGUAGUCAUAUAAAUGCUGCCUGUACAUUGUCUGUAGGUUAAAAUCUGUAAUGUGUUAGUUGGUCUAGGCUUUCUGCAAAUGUUGAUGAAGUCUGUUGAUGUCAGCUAAAAGCAAUUAUAGAGGUGUUUUUAUCUACAAAGUGUAGUCAUAGAGUCAUAUACCGUUGGUCUCCUGCCCUAGUUCAACUGUACCAGUUUUAAAUGCAAGUCACAUGCGAUUACUAGGGGAAAAUGGCUGCUUCUCCCUUUUACCAGCUUGCCUGGGAAACUGAUCAAAGCAUGUUUGCGAUGAGGUUCCAAAUUCCAAAUGCAUUUUCUGAUUGUAUGAAUGUGACCAUUUGUACAUGUUUUGUAUUUUAUCAAUGUUCCAGUCUUGAAUUAAAUAUCUAUGUUAUUUCAGUUUA